UGACAAUUUCUGACGUCAUUCCAAGUACCACAACAACAACAACGACAACAACAAGUAAGCGUUUGCGAAACGCAAGCUGAACAUUUUACACUAACAAUGACUAAAAUUGAAGAAAAAAAACGGAUAGCGAGUAAGUAGUGUUGUUUCAAGCAGUGAUGAAAGAUUUGAGCUAUAGACUGUAGAUCUACAGAAACUGUUCCAGACUUCCAUACAGAUCUUUGAGGAUAGUGAAGAAUAUGAUUUUCCUGCUAAAUUGGAGACAAAUGAAAACACCCCGCACAAACUGAUGACAUACAUUACAGAGGGGAGCAACUGUCCUUUGGUGUUUAGACAUAGAAUAUUGAUUAUUAUUUAUGUACUCUCGCAGAAGUUUGUAUUUGCGAAGAAAUUUAGGAAAUUAUCCUUAAUUCAUGUGUUAUGUUAAGAAGACUGCAUUCAUGCACACAAGAAUAUAACACAUAAAAAUACAACAUGUAAUAACAAUAAGUGAAACAAUGCUAGGAUAUUGAGAUAUUGUGUGAU